CCUACGGGAGGCAGCAGUGAGGAAUAUUGGUCAAUGGUCGUAAGCCUGAACCAGCCAAGUAGCGUGAAGGAUGACUGCCCUAUGGGUUGUAAACUUCUUUUAUAAGGGAAUAAAGUGAGGCACGUGUGCCUUUUUGUAUGUACUUUAUGAAUAAGGAUCGGCUAACUCCGUGCCAGCAGCCGCGGUAAUACGGAGGAUCCGAGCGUUAUCCGGAUUUAUUGGGUUUAAAGGGAGCGUAGAUGGGUUGUUAAGUCAGUUGUGAAAGUUUGUGGCUCAACCGUAAAAUUGCAAUUGAUACUGGCAGCCGUGAGUACAGUUGAGGUAGGCGGAAUUCGUGGUGUAGCGGUGAAAUGCUUAGAUAUCACGAAGAACUCCGAUUGCGAAGGCAGCUUACUAAACUGCCACUGACAUUGAAGCUCGAAAGUGUGGGUAUCAAACAGGAUUAGAUACCCCAGUAGUC
rnacentral:rRNA from 1 species